AUGGCGGCGACCUCGCCAGCGCCGAUGAGGGCCGUCGCCGCCGCGUUUACCCCGCCUCCGUUAUCUCAGAGGAUCACCCGUAUCUCUACCGUGUCUGCCCUCCGCGUUCACCAAUGCCACGCAGCUCACCGGUGGCGCCCUGCACAGUGCCGCGGGAAGCCGACCGUGAGUGGCGUGGUCGAGGACGACGAUGAGGAUACUUCGCGGGAGGCUUUAAAUCCUGAGGAAAAAGAGGAGGAGUCUGCAGGCGCGGGGAGCUGGGGGCUGGGGUGGUUCAGGCUUGAUGAGGUUGGGAUGGACAUCCUGGGCAUCGCCGUGCCCGCCGUGCUUGCACUCGCCGCCGACCCCGUCACGGCGCUCGUUGACACCGCCUUCGUCGGACAUAUCGGCUCGGUUGAACUUGCUGCCGUUGGUGUAUCUAUAUCUGUUUUCAACCUGGUGUCCAAGCUGUUUAAUGUGCCACUGCUCAAUGUCACCACAUCCUUUGUUGCUGAGCAGCAAGCAGUGGAUGCCAAGUAUAGCGGCGUAGGAGAAAGAGAUGAAGUGUCGAGUACACGAGAGCAGGCGAGUGAAAAAAGGAAGUUUCUCCCAGCGGUGUCAACAUCCUUGGCUUUAGCUGCUGGAAUCGGGUUGAUGGAAAUGGCGGCACUUAUUAUUGGAUCUGGCACACUAAUGGACAUCGUUGGUAUACCUGUCGAUUCACCGAUGCGAGCACCGGCAGAACAGUUUCUUACUUUAAGGGCAUAUGGUGCUCCGCCAGUCGUAGUAGCACUUGCAGCACAAGGUGCAUUUCGGGGUUUCAUGGAUACAAAGACACCUUUGUAUGCUGUGGUUGCUGGCAACCUAGUAAAUGCAAUACUGGAUGCCAUAUUUAUCUUCCCACUUGGUCUAGGUGUAAGUGGCGCUGCAUUGGCAACUGUAACUUCUGAGUACUUGGCGGCAAUCAUCCUCCUAUGGAAGCUGAAUAACGAACUAGUCCUGUUUUCAUGGAAUGUCAUUGGCGGUGACAUCAUCCGCUACCUGAAAUCUGGUGCUUUGCUAAUUGCCAGGACCAUCGCAGUAAUCCUUCCAUUAUGGCUGUCGACAUCCCUCGCCGCAAGACAAGGGCCUGUUCCAAUGGCUGGCUAUGAGAUAAGCUUGCAAGUCUGGCUAACAAUUUCUCUACUUAAUGAUGCACUGGCUCUUGCUGGUCAGGCUCUGCUUGCGAGUGAAUAUGCGAAAGGGAACUACAAGCAGGCCCGCUUGGUUUUGUACAGGGUUCUGCAGAUUGGAGGCAUCACUGGUCUUGCACUUGCUGCAACCUUGUUCCUUGGGUUUGGAUAUUUGACCUUGCUGUUUACAGAUGAUCCAGCAGUUCUAGAUGUUGCGCAGUCUGGAGUCUGGUUUGUCACUAUUACUCAGCCGAUAAAUGCUAUUGCUUUUGUGUUCGAUGGGCUCUACUACGGUGUUUCUGACUUCGGCUAUGCCGCAUACUCUACGCUUUUCGCGGGGGUCGUCGCCUCAGCCUUCCUCCUUGUCGUUGCUCCCAACUUUGGUCUUGGUGGUGUAUGGGCUGGUCUUACUCUCUUUAUGGGUCUGCGAGCAGUUGCUGGGUUCUGGAGGUUAGGGAGCAAAGGUGGACCAUGGGAAAUAGUCUGGUCAAAGACUGAUUAA
rnacentral:rRNA from 1 species